rnacentral:misc_RNA from 1 species
UUUCCGUAGGUGAACCUGCGGAAGGAUCAUUAUUGAAUAAAAGAGGCUCGAGGGCUUCGGCUGAGCCGAAAGGUUGCGCACAUCCGAGUGUCACCACUCACAUCUAUCACACCCCUGUGUACACCACCGCGUAGGUCCCCCUCUGCCUUUUUCUAAGAAGGGAUUACGGUAUCACACGAAGUUUGAAUGCAGUGUAGAAUGUCUUUCAUGUAUUUGCGACCUCGCUCUCUAUACAACUAUCAACAACGGAGAUCUUGGCUCCAGCAGCGAUGAAGCACG